rnacentral:rRNA from 1 species
CCUACGGGUGGCAGCAGUGGGGAAUAUUGCACAAUGGGGGAAACCCUGAUGCAGCGACGCCGCGUGAAGGAAGAAGUAUUUCGGUAUGUAAACUUCUAUCAGCAGGGAACAAAAUGACGGUACCUGUCUGAGAAGCCCCGUCUAACUACGUGCCAGCAGCCGCUGUAAUACGUAGGGGGCAAGCGUUAUCCGGAUUUACUGGGUGUAAAGGGAGCGUAGGCGGUUUAGCACGUCAGAAGUGAAAGCCCGGGGCUCAACUCCGGGACUGCUUUUGAUACUGUUGAACUAGAUGGCAGGAGAGGUAAGUGGAAUUCCUAGUGUAGCGGUGAAAUGCGUAGAUAUUAGGAGGAACACCAGUGGCGAAGGCGGCUUACUGGACUGUAAAUGACGCUGAGGAUCGAAAGCGUGGGGAGCAAACAGGAUUAGAUACCCUAGUAGUC